rnacentral:rRNA from 1 species
CGGGUAACAGGGAAUUAGAGUUCGAUUCUGGAGAGAGAGCCUGAGAAAUAGCUACUACAUUCAAGGAAGGCAGCAAGCGCGCAAAUUACCUAAUCCCGAUAUGGGGAGGUAGUAACAAUAAAUAAUAAUACAAGGCUCUUACAGGUUUUGUAAUUAGAAUGAAUACAAUUUAAAUCCCUUAACAAGGAACAAUUGGAGGGCAAGUCUGGUGCUAGCAGCUAUGGUAAUUCCAGUUCUAAUAGUGUAUAUUAAAGUUGUUGCAGUUAAAAAGCUCGUAGUUGAAUUUCGGGUUCUAUCAUUGGUCAGGCUAACCAGUCUGUACUAGCAUAUAGAAUUCCUACCUUCUGGAGAAUCAUCAUGUUAUUAAUUUAGCAUGGUAGGAAACCAAGACCUUUACUUUGAAAAAAUUAGAGUAUUUAAAGCAGGCUUACGUCUGAAUAUAUUAGCAUAGAAUAAUAGAAUAGGACGGUAGUCCUGUUUUGUUGGUUUCUGAAUCAUCGUAAUGAUUAAUAGGGAUAGUUGGGGCAUUAGUAUUCAAUUGUCAGAGAUGAAAUUCUUGGAUUUAUUGAAGACUAACUUCUGCAAAAGCAUUUGCUAAGGAUGUUUUCAUUAAUCAAAAACGAAAGUUAGGGGAUCGAAGACGAUCAGAUAUUGUUGUAGUCUUAACUAUAAACUAUGCCGAUUAGAGAUCAGAUGAUGUUAAAUUUUAUUGACUUGUUCGGUGCCUUACGG